rnacentral:lncRNA from 1 species
CCAAUAUCCAAUAGGAAAGAUCCGCGUUCCGAAGAGCGGCUGUUGUGCUGCUCUGGGCUCGCUUCCCAUUGGGCGGUUACCGAACUAAGGAGGUGAAGAUGGCGGCGUGAGAGGAAGAAGUGAAGCGNGAGCCGAGGGCUGCGGCCCAGGGCCCUUACCUGAGGUUAAUUCAUUCAACAUCUUGAUUGGCAGCCAGAGCAAGAAGAUUGCAUAAUCAGAAAGCUAGAAGCAAAGAUCNUUAGUGACAUUUAAUUUGUCAGCCAUGAAUAAAUGAGGAAACUUACUGUGGUUUCAGUCAAAAAAUGAGGAGCUGAGAAAUUGCAAUGGACUUGGGCCAAAUGAAGUUCUUACCUGUCAGCCCAAUAAAGGCUGAU